UUCCUUGUCGGGUAAGUUCCGACCCGCACGAAUCAUGUAACGAGUUGACAACUGUCUCGGAGAGAGGCCCAGUGAAAUUGUAGUGGCGGUGAAGAUGCCGCCUACCCGCAGCAGGACGGAAAGACCCUAUGCACCUUUACUGUAAGCUGUUAUUGUCGCUUGAUUUUUAAUACGUAGCAUAGCUGGGAGACUGCGAAGCUUG
rnacentral:rRNA from 1 species